UACGUAGGGUGCAAGCGUUGUCCGGAAUUAUUGGGCGUAAAGAGCGCGUAGGCGGUCCGAUAAGUCGGCUGUGAAAGUCAGGGGCUCAACCCUUGAAAGCCGGCCGAUACUGUCGGACUAGAGUCCGGAAGAGGCAAGCGGAAUUCCCGGUGUAGCGGUGAAAUGCGCAGAUAUCGGGAGGAACACCAAUGGCGAAGGCAGCUUGCUGGGACGGUACUGACGCUGAGGCGCGAAAGCGUGGGGAGCAAACAGGG
rnacentral:rRNA from 1 species